rnacentral:rRNA from 1 species
GACGAACGCUGGCGGCGUGCUUAACACAUGCAAGUCGAACGGUAAGGCCCCUCGGGGUACACGAGUGGCGAACGGGUGAGUAACACGUGGGUGAUCUGCCCUGCACUUCGGGAUAAGCCUGGGAAACUGGGUCUAAUACCGGAUAGGACCCUGGGAUGCAUGUCCUGGGGUGGAAAGCUUUUGCGGUGUGGGAUGGGCCCGCGGCCUAUCAGCUUGUUGGUGGGGUGAUGGCCUACCAAGGCGACGACGGGUAGCCGGCCUGAGAGGGUGACCGGCCACACUGGGACUGGGAUACGGCCCAGGCUCCUACGGGAGGCAGCAGUGGGGAAUACUGUACAAUGGGCGCAAGCCUGAUGCAGCGACGCCGCGUGAGGGAUGACGGCCUUCGGGUUGUAAACCUCUUUCAGCACCGACGAAGCGCAAGUGACGGUAGGUGCAGAAGAAGGACCGGCCAACUACGUGCCAGCCGCCGCCGUAA